rnacentral:rRNA from 1 species
CCUGGCUCAGAAUGAACGCCGGCGGCAUGGAUUAGGCAUGCAAGUCGAACGGUGAAGCAGAGCUUGCUCUGUGGAUCAGUGGCGAAAGGGUGAGUAACACGUGAGCAACCUGCCCCUGUGUCCGGAAUAGCCUCUGGAAACGGAGAAUAAUACCGGAUGUGGAUUGAGAUCGCAUGGUCUCUUAUCUAAAGAUUUAUCGCACAGGGAUAGGCUCGCGUCCUAUUAGCUUGUUGGUGAGGUAAUGGCUCACCAAGGCUACGACAGGUAGGUGGUCUGAGAGGAUGGUCACCCACACUGGGACUGAGACACUGCCCAGACUCCUACGGGAGGCUGCAGUCGAGAAUCUUCCGCAAUGCGCGAAAGCGUGACGGAGCGAUGCCGCGUGAGGGAUGAAGGCUUUCGGGUCGUAAACCUCUGUCACCCGGGAUGAGAUCUGACGGUGCCCCCAGAGGAAGUCACGGCUAACUACGUGCCAGCAGCCGCGGUAAUACGUAGGUGGCAAGCGUUAUUCGGAUUUAUUGGGCGUAAAGGGUCCGUAGGGGGUUUGAUCAGUCUGGUGUGAAAGCCCGUGGCUCAACCACGGAACUGCACUGGAUACUGACGGACUUGAGUAUGCGAGGGGUGAGCGGAAUUUCAGGUGUAGCGGUGGAAUGCGUAGAUAUCUGAAAGAACACCGAUGGCGAAGGCGGCUCACUGGCGCAAUACUGACCCUCAUGGACGAAAGCGUGGGUAGCAAACAGGAUUAGAUACCCUGGUAGUCCACGCCGUAAACGUUGUAUACUAGAUGUGGGAAGGCCUGGUCCCUUCCGUGUCCAAGCUAACGCGAUAAGUAUACCGCCUGGGGACUACGGCCGCAAGGCUAAAACUCAAAGGAAUUGACGGGGGCCCGCACAAGCGGUGGAGCAUGUGGCUUAAUUCGAGGCAACGCGAAGAACCUUACCUGGACUUGACAUAUAGUGGAUCGUCCCCGAAACGGGACUUCUCUUCGGAGCUGCUAUACAGGUGCUGCAUGGCUGUCGUCAGCUCGUGUCGUGAGAUGUUCGGUUAAGUCCGGCAACGAGCGCAACCCGUAUCAUUAGUUGCCAGCGCGUAAUGGCGGGGACUCUAGUGAGACUGCCCGUGUUAAGCGGGAGGAAGGAGUGGACGACGUCAAGUCAGUAUGGCCCUUACACCCAGGGCUGCACACGUGCUACAAUGGCCGGUACAGUAGGCAGCAAUACCGCGAGGUGGAGCUAAUCCCCAAAACCGGUCCCAGUUCGGAUUGGAGUCUGCAACUCGACUCCAUGAAGUUGGAAUCGCUAGUAAAGGCGUAUCAGCUACGACGCCUUGAAUACGUUCCCGGGCCUUGUACACACCGCCCG